GUGGAACCGACGUGGACCGGUUCUGUCUGGAGCUGCAUGAGGUUCUACAUCUGAAGACCAGAAGGUGGAGGGAGGACACGGGUACCAGCCCCACUGGGACCUCAGGUCGACCCUGGAGGUCCACGUGGACCAGAAGGACCUCCCUCCUCUGCUGGGGCUGGACACUCUGCCGUCGGACGUGACCGUUGGACAGGGCGCCGACGUCUGGACGACCAGCGUCCACUUCAAGACCCGAUGAGACGACGACCACAACAACCACAACAACCACAAUGACCACAACGACCACGACCACGAUGACCACGACCACGAUGACCACGACCACAACGACCACGACCACGAUGACCACGACCACGAUGACCACGACCACGAUGACCACGACCACAACAACCACAACAACCACAAUGACCACAACGACCACGACCACGAUGACCACGACCACGAUGACCACGACCACAACGACCACGACCACGAUGACCACGACCACGAUGACCACGACCACAAUGACCACAACGACCACGAUGACCACGACCACGAUGACCACGACCACAACGACCACGACCACGAUGACCACAACGACCACGACCACGAUGACCACGACCACGAUGACCACGACCACAACGACCACGACCACGAUGACCACGACCACGAUGACCACGACCACGUGUCCAACAUCGACUUUAACGUUUAGCAGCAAAACUGAGACUCAGACGUUCUAAAGCCGGAGGAGAAGAAACAAGAAAAAACCUCACAAGUAUACAUACAUGUGCAGAUAUUCUGAGAUUCAAAAAGUCCAUUUACAAGAAAAUGUUGAGGUUUCAAGGAAAAAAACCCCUGACGUUUACAGACAAAGUGAAUAUUCUCUGAUAUUAAAGGACGACAUUGACGAGAAAAAUACGGAGAAAAAAAAAAUCAAGUGUGAGUCAUUAGUUUAUACGGAAAAGACAAAAACAAACUGUAGCUGAAAAUAAAAGAAUCUAUUGUAUUUAUGAGAAAAAAACUCAAAUUCGUCUCAUAAAUACUGGGAUUCUCUGUGAGAUUAAAGUUUUACAAGAAAAAGAAAAAUGAAAAAGGUACAAUUAGAAAUAAAGGAUAAAAUCAAGAAAAAACUCAGAUUUAUAAAGUUUAUAAAGUCACGUUUGUAUGAAAAUUGGGCACAUGAUGUGAGAUUAGUUCUGUAUUUCAAAGAAUGAAUGUCAGAAAAUCUGUGGAAGUUUCACAUAUGGAAGAAAAAAACACAAAUGUAUGAGUUAAAGAUGAAAAAUAAAGUUAAAGUGUAAAAAUAAGGACAGAAAUGUAGCCUGAGACGAACCAACUCAUCUAAAGUUCUGACCAAUGAAUGUUCUCUUUUUUGUAUUAAAUGUGAGAAUCGACAAAAAACUAAGAAAAAAAAUCUGUCAAACUCUCAAAAAGACGAGUAAACGUGGACAAAAACAAUCUUACAGCGGAAACAUGGACAAAACCAUCAACAAAAACAUGAACUGACCCAGAGUUUGUUCUUGUAAAUCUGUGAGUUGAUGAUCGGACUUGAAACCCAAAUAUUCAGGGUAUUCUUGACCUUUGACCUUUGACCUCAGCUCAUCCAUCUGCCCACAGUCUCUGUUUAUGAUGUUUAUUAUGUCAGAUUCAACUGUGGUUAAUCAGAUGUAAAUAUAUGCUGAUUAUUUAUGUUUCUGUGGAAAUAUUUCCCAUCAUGCUUUGUGUUUGAGACCAGCUGACGUUCUUUAUUCAUCUGUUCUUCGUGUUCCUGAUCUGUUUUCAUGGUAACAUUCUAUCAGUGAUUCAUUCUUUUUCAGCUUUUAAACGCUCACUUUUACUCUGUUUAUUCUGAAUAUUAUGUCACUUUGUUUUUACUGUUAUUGUUUUGUCCGAGAAUAAUUAAUAAAUCUGUCAUGAAUGAA